rnacentral:rRNA from 1 species
UACGUAGGGAGCAAGCGUUGUUCGGAUUUACUGGGCGUAAAGCGCGCGUAGGCGGCUUUGCAAGUCGGGUGUGAAAUCCCCAGGCUUAACCUGGGAACUGCAUUCGAGACUGCAUUGCUAGAGUAUGGGAGAGGGAAGUGGAAUUUCCGGUGUAGCGGUGAAAUGCGUAGAUAUCGGAAGGAACAUCAGUGGCGAAAGCGACUUCCUGGACCAAUACUGACGCUCAUGUGCGAAAGCGUGGGGAGCAAACAGG